GACGAAACGUGAUUUAUAUACUCGAGAUGAGAUAGAAGCAAUGUUCAAAGCCCUCGACGUUAAUGAUGAUGGAAAGAUUAGUGCCGAGGAGUUAUCCAAAUGAAUCGUAGAGAUUUAUAGUAAAGUGCUUGAGGAUAUGGCCAGUAAUUUAAUCAAAGAAGCGGAUGAGGAUGGUGACGGAUUCGUCGAUUAUACUGAUAAAUCCAGCACAGCGCCAUGACAGUUUGACAGAGGAACAAAUACAUCUUAUGAGUGACUUUGUCAAACAGAUUUGUCAAACAGAGAUUGAGACACAGGGCCUAACGGGAGUAAGAACAUGGAAGCAAGAUUUUCGCACAAAGUGGAAGAAGUUCAGGCAACAAAGAAAGUCCAUCGGAGCCAGAGAAGAGCCUGCAGAGGGUUAUGACGAACCCGAGUGUGGAUUUGACCGUGUUUACCGAGAACAACAAAUCCCUAUGCGAAUUAUGAAGAAAGAUUUCUGCAUAUAGAGGAGGCAAAGGUGGAGGUGCUUAAAGGCAUUCUGACUGUCUUGAAAGAUAUUUAGUGGUUACUUACAUUGCUAAUAAUGAUAUUAUUAAAAA